rnacentral:rRNA from 1 species
AACGAACGCUGGCGGCAUGCCUAACACAUGCAAGUCGAACGAGACCUUCGGGUCUAGUGGCGCACGGGUGCGUAACGCGUGGGAAUCUGCCCUUUGCUUCGGAAUAACAGUUAGAAAUGACUGCUAAUACCGGAUGAUGUCUUCGGACCAAAGAUUUAUCGGCAAAGGAUGAGCCCGCGUAGGAUUAGGUAGUUGGUGGGUAAAGGCCUACCAAGCCGACGAUCCUUAGCUGGUCUGAGAGGAUGAUCAGCCACACUGGGACUGAGACACGGCCCAGACUCCUACGGGAGGCAGCAGUGGGGAAUAUUGGACAAUGGGCGCAAGCCUGAUCCAGCAAUGCCGCGUGAGUGAUGAAGGCCUUCGGGUCGUAAAGCUCUUUUACCAGGGAUGAUAAUGACAGUACCUGGAGAAUAAGCUCCGGCUAACUCCGUGCCAGCAGCCGCGGUAAU